rnacentral:rRNA from 1 species
CGAUGCGUAGCCGACCUGAGAGGGUGAUCGGCCACACUGGGACUGAGACACGGCCCAGACUCCUACGGGAGGCAGCAGUAGGGAAUCUUCCGCAAUGGACGAAAGUCUGACGGAGCAACGCCGCGUGAGUGAUGAAGGUUUUCGGAUCGUAAAGCUCUGUUGUUAGGGAAGAACAAGUACCGUUCGAAUAGGGCGGUACCUUGACGGUACCUAACCAGAAAGCCACGGCUAACUACGUGCCAGCAGCCGCGGUAAUACGUAGGUGGCAAGCGUUGUCCGGAAUUAUUGGGCGUAAAGGGCUCGCAGGCGGUUUCUUAAGUCUGAUGUGAAAGCCCCCGGCUCAACCGGGGAGGGUCAUUGGAAACUGGGGAACUUGAGUGCAGAAGAGGAGAGUGGAAUUCCACGUGUAGCGGUGAAAUGCGUAGAGAUGUGGAGGAACACCAGUGGCGAAGGCGACUCUCUGGUCUGUAACUGACGCUGAGGAGCGAAAGCGUGGGGAGCGAACAGGAUUAGAUACCCUGGUAGUCCACGCCGUAAA